rnacentral:rRNA from 1 species
UCGAGAAUCUUCGGCAAUGGGCGCAAGCCUGACCGAGCGACGCCGCGUGGAGGAUGAAGGCCUUCGGGUUGUAAACUCCUGUCGAGGGGGAAGAAGGGUCGAAAGACCUUGACUGAUCCCUGGAGGAAGCACGGGCUAAGUUCGUGCCAGCAGCCGCGGUAAGACGAACCGUGCGAACGUUAUUCGGAAUCACUGGGCUUAAAGCGCGUGUAGGCGGGACGGCACGUCGGUCGCUGAAAUCCCCCGGCUCAACCGGGGAACGGGCGCCGAUACGACCGUCCUGGAGGGACGUAGGGGGACCUGGAACUUCCGGUGGAGCGGUGAAAUGCGUUGAGAUCGGAAGGAACGCCCGUGGCGAAAGCGAGGUCCUGGACGUUUUCUGACGCUGAGACGCGAAAGCCAGGGGAGCGAACGGGAUUAGAUACCCCUGUAGUCC